GCGGAUGGCUGGAUGACCGCGUGGGGGGCGACCCCUGCGAGGAAAGUCCGGACUCCAUGAAGGAAGGGUGCCGGGUAACGCCCGGCGGGGGCAACCCCAGGGAAAGCGCCACAGAGAAGAGUCUGCCAUCGGUCACACGAUGGUCAGGGUGAAACGGUGGGGUAAGAGCCCACCGCGGACUUGGCAACAAGGACGGCACGGCAAGCCCCACCCGGAGCAAUGCCGAAUAGGGGCCUCGCGUGGAAAGGUUCGCUGCCAUCUGGCGCGGAGACCUCCACAGGGACACUUCAGCCUGAGAAGGCCCGGGUUGGCAGCUAGACCCCGUCGGUAACGGCGGGGGCAGAGGAAUGGUCAUCCAGAGGGGGCAACCCCUUGGACAGAAUCCGGCUUACAGGCCAUCCGCGCAA
rnacentral:RNase_P_RNA from 2 species